UUUUGCCUACGGGGGGCAGCAGUGGGGAAUAUUGCACAAUGGGGGAAACCCUGAUGCAGCGACGCCGCGUGAGUGAAGAAGUAUUUCGGUAUGUAAAGCUAUAUCAGCAGGGAAGAAGAAAGACGGUACCUGACUAAGAAGCCCCGGCUAACUACGUGCCAGCAGCCGCGGUAAUACGCAGGGGGCAAGCGUUAUCCGGAUUUACUGGGCGUAAAGGGAGCGUAGACGGCUGUGCAAGUCUGAAGUGAAAGCCCAGGGCUCAACCCCGGGACUGCUUUG
rnacentral:rRNA from 1 species